UACGUAGGGUGCAAGCGUUGUCCGGAAUUAUUGGGCGUAAAGGGCUCGUAGGCGGUUUGUCGCGUCGGGAGUGAAAACCUCGGGCUUAACUCGGGGCUUGCUUUCGAUACGGGCAGACUGGAGGUAUGCAGGGGAGAACGGAAUUCCUGGUGUAGCGGGUGGAAUGCGCAGAUAUCAGGAGGAACACCGGUGGCGAAGGCGGUUCUCUGGGCAUUACCUGACGCUGAGGAGCGAAAGCAUGGGGAGCGAACAGG
rnacentral:rRNA from 1 species